rnacentral:rRNA from 1 species
CUGGUGGCGAGUGGCGAACGGGUGAGUAAUAUAUCGGAACGUGCCCUGGAGUGGGGGAUAACUAGUCGAAAGACUAGCUAAUACCGCAUACGAUCUAUGGAUGAAAGUGGGGGAUCGCAAGACCUCAUGCUCGUGGAGCGGCCGAUAUCUGAUUAGCUAGUUGGUGGGGUAAAAGCCUACCAAGGCAUCGAUCAGUAGCUGGUCUGAGAGGACGACCAGCCACACUGGGACUGAGACACGGCCCAGACUCCUACGGGAGGCAGCAGUGGGGAAUUUUGGACAAUGGGGGCAACCCUGAUCCAGCAAUGCCGCGUGAGUGAAGAAGGCCUUCGGGUUGUAAAGCUCUUUUGUCAGGGAAGAAACGGUCCGGGCUAAUAUCCUGGGCUAAUGACGGUACCUGAAGAAUAAGCACCGGCUAACUACGUGCCAGCAGCCGCGGUAAUACGUAGGGUGCAAGCGUUAAUCGGAAUUACUGGGCGUAAAGCGUGCGCAGGCGGUUGUGCAAGACAGAUGUGAAAUCCCCGGGCUUAACCUGGGAAUUGCAUUUGUGACUGCACGGCUAGAGUGUGUCAGAGGGGGGUAGAAUUCCACGUGUAGCAGUGAAAUGCGUAGAGAUGUGGAGGA